rnacentral:rRNA from 1 species
AGGUGAUCUACCCUUGGGUGGGGAAUAGCCCAUGGAAACAUGGGGUAAUACCGCAUGAGGUCUUCGCACUUGAUGGUGCGUAGAUGAAGGGAGCAAUUGUUCCGCCUGGGGAUGAGCCUGCGGUCCAUUAGUUAGUUGGUGUGGUAAGAGCGCACCAAGGCGACGAUGGAUAGCCGGCCUGAGAGGGUGAACGGUCACACUGGGACUGAGACACGGCCCAG